UCGAACCUACGGGGGGCAGCAGUGGGGGAUAUUGCACAAUGGGGGAAACCCUGAUGCAGCGACGCCGCGUGGGCGAAGAAGUAUUACGGUAUGUAAAGCCCUCUCAGCAGGGAAGAAGAAAUGACGGUACCUGAGUAAGAAGCACCGGCUAAAUACGUGCCAGCAGCCGCGGUAAUACGUAUGGUGCAAGCGUUAUCCGGAUUUAUUGGGUUUAAAGGGUGCGCAGGCGGCGUGUCAAGUUAGCGGUAAAAUGUCG
rnacentral:rRNA from 1 species